AGGGUAAUGGCUUACCAAGGCUACGAUAGGUAUCUGGUCUGAGAGGAUGAUCAGCCACACUGGACUGUACACGGUCCAGACUCCCACGGGAGGCAGCAGUUGGGAAUAUUGCAACAAUGGGGUCACGCCUGAUGCAGCAAUCCCGCGUGAGUGAUGAAGGCCUUCGGGUCGUAAAGCUCUUUUGGCAGGGAAGAAGGGAAACUUGACGGUACCUGCAGAAGAAGCACCGGCUAACUACGUGCCAGCAGCCGCGGUAAUACGUAGGGUGCAAGCGUUGCUCGGAAUCAUUGGGCGUAAAGCGCGUGUAGGCGGUUUACUAAGUCUGGUGUGAAAUCCUGGAGCUUAACCCCGGAAGUGCACUGGAUACUGUGAAACUAGAGGUACAGGAGAGGGAAGUGGAAUUCCUGGUGUAGGGGUGAAAUCCGUAGAUAUCAGGAGGAACAUCGGUGGCGAAGGCGGCUUCCUGGCUUACUACUGACGCUAAGACGCGAAAGCGUGGGGAGCAAACAGGAUUAGAUACCCUGGUAGUCCACGCCCUAAACGAUGGAUACUAGGUGUGGGAGGUGUAAUACCUUCUGUGCCGAGUCAAC
rnacentral:rRNA from 2 species